rnacentral:lncRNA from 1 species
AGAACAGAAAUACAUCAGUUGUGGUCAUGGGCAGCUGUGCUCGUGGUAUGUCAUAGACACCAACUUCACAUCAUGUCCAGCUGCCUCUCGGAGCUCGGCUGCCCACAGAAGCUCUGGCGCAAUGGUGGGUCAUUGAGUUACAUUUUCCAGUGUGGAGUGAUAAUUGCAAGAUUUACUGAGCAGAGAAAUAUGACCCAUCAAAUUCAGUCUAAAAAUAAUUUUUGCUCUGAAAAAGAAAAUCGAAUUACCUUGCUCUUCACUAUGAAAAAUUGGCUUCAUCUGGGUCAAGAGACAUGGAACCUUUCUUUGAAGUAGACCCUACAUUCCAAAAUAUCACUGGCAAACUCUGGGGCCUGCUUCUGAUUAAAUAAUUGACAUAAACCUCCGCCGAAUAAACACUGAACCCUUCAAAAACAGAGAAGUAAAUGAAAAAUAAAAAUGCAUCUAUGCUUUAAGUAGAAGAUCUUCUGCAAUAAUUUGUUACCAGAAAGCAAUUUACUUUUCCUUUUGUAAACCAGCAUUAAAACCUAAGAAGAAAGCACACUGGGUGAAACUCUAGUUGAAACUUCGAAAUAGUCUUAAAUCUAUUCUACAUAUUAUCAGAUUUAAUGUUGACCUUAAGAGAGUGCUUCCAUAUUUAUGGUUUGCUAUCUUAUCCCUCAAAACUAAAUUUAUUACUCAUAGAAUAUGAAGCUUAAAAAGUAAAAUAUUGUAUUUUCCUGAGAAUAUUUUGGUCUUUAAAUUGACAACAGUAUAAAUACAUUGUAAGAAAAAAAAUAGCAACCCAACUGUGUGUAUGUAUACCUUGCCUCUUUCUUCAAGGAAUGCUAUCUGUGCAUAUAAAACUCAAAAACAGUUAACCAAGAAAUAAAGAAAAAGAGUAAACUCUUUUGGGUUUAUUACAGAUGAGGUUAUAACAAAAUGGGCUGACGGCAAGUGUGACAAAAAGUAUUGUUUGAAAAUUCUAAAUCUUGUUGCCACAAAACUGUGACUUUUUAGAAAUAUAUGGGGAAAUUUUAUUGUAAUAGAAUGGAAUUGAAUUUAUUGAAAUUUUAUUGUAAAUGAAUAAAAUUUUGAAGAGGUCUUCAAUAAUGGAAUGAGUAAGAUAAUUACUACUUCACUUAGCUUUCUAAAAACUUUGCACCAAUGGAUUUCUGCCUUCCCAGAUGAUUUUUUUCUCGUUUAGCUUUUGUAUACUUUGAAAAAUAGAACAAUGACUUUGUUCUGUCCUUCAUAGGUUGGGAUUUAUAAAAAUGAUUUUGUGUGCCUCUGCAAAAUGUGGAGAAGUACUGAAUAAACAACAAACAAUCAGGUGUUCUUCAGUUAAAGGGACAGUUUUUAGAGGAACCCCGUGGUUGUAAUGAAUUAUUUCUUGUUUUAAAAAGACCUUCUUACCUGAAUAACGUUGUGAAUCACACGAAUGUCAAUUUCUUGGGUUUUGGUAUUGCACUGUAGUUAUGCAAGAUGUUACUACUGGGGAAAACUGGGUACCUGGGACCUUUCUAUACUAUUUUGUAACUUCCUGUUAAUCUUUUACUUUAUUUCAAAAUAAAAAUGUUUAAAAAUGAAAAAAAUUAAAAUAAAUGUCAGUGGUCAAAAAGAGCAAAUAAAGAAAAAAGUCCUUUCUAACCAGC